rnacentral:ncRNA from 1 species
GGGUACCCCUCUGAGCGUACCCAUCUGCGUGUGAAUAGUCCGUUUCCAUUGGCCUGGACGGGUGGUUCGUGAAUC